CAGUAGCCGCGGUAAUACAGAGGGUGCGAGCGUUAAUCGGAUUUACUGGGCGUAAAGCGUGCGUAGGCGGCUUUUUAAGUCGGAUGUGAAAUCCCUGAGCUUAACUUAGGAAUUGCAUUCGAUACUGGGAAGCUAGAGUAUGGGAGAGGAUGGUAGAAUUCCAGGUGUAGCGGUGAAAUGCGUAGAGAUCUGGAGGAAUACCGAUGGCGAAGGCAGCCAUCUGGCCUAAUACUGACGCUGAGGUACGAAAGCAUGGGGAGCAAACAGGAUUAGAUACCCCCGUAGUCCCUGUCUCUUAUAC
rnacentral:rRNA from 1 species